UACGUAGGGGGCUAGCGUUGUUCGGAAUUACUGGGCGUAAAGCGUACGUAGGCGGGUUAUUAAGUCAGGGGUGAAAUCCCGGAGCUCAACUCCGGAACUGCCUUUGAUACUGGUAAUCUAGAGAUCGGAAGAGGUUAGUGGAAUUCCCAGUGUAGAGGUGAAAUUCGUAGAUAUUGGGAAGAACACCAGUGGCGAAGGCGGCUAACUGGUCCGAUACUGACGCUGAGGUGCGAAAGCGUGGGGAGCAAACAGG
rnacentral:rRNA from 1 species